GUUUCUAGUGGCGGACGGGUGAGUAACGCGUGGGUAACCUGCCUUAUACAGGGGGAUAACAACCAGAAAUGGUUGCUAAUACCGCAUAAGCGCACAGGACCGCAUGGUCCGGUGUGAAAAACUCCGGUGGUAUAAGAUGGACCCGCGUCUGAUUAGCUAGUUGGUAAGGUAACGGCUUACCAAGGCGACGAUCAGUAGCCGACCUGAGAGGGUGACCGGCCACAUUGGGACUGAGACACGGCCCAAACUCCUACGGGAGGCAGCAUG
rnacentral:rRNA from 1 species